rnacentral:tRNA from 2 species
AAGUAAAAAGUAAAAUCUUACAUUUAGUUUCGACCUAAAAUUAGGGAAUAAUAACCCUUUACUUA